rnacentral:rRNA from 1 species
GAUGAACGCUAGCGGCAGGCCUAAUACAUGCAAGUCGAACGGUAAGUAUUUUAGCAAUAGAAUACGAGAGUGACGUACGGGUGCGUAACACGUAUGCAACCUACCCUUUACAGGAGGAUAGCUCGGGGAAACUCGAAUUAACCCUCCAUGAGAUCACAGUGUGGCAUCACACAGUGAUUAAAACUCCGGUGGUAAAGGAUGGGCAUGCGUCUGAUUAGUUAGUUGGCGGGGUAACGGCCCACCAAGACGAUGAUCAGUAGGGGAACUGAGAGGUUGAUCCCCCACACUGGCACUGAGAUACGGGCCAGACUCCUACGGGAGGCAGCAGUAGGGAAUAUUGGUCAAUGGAUGGAAGUCUGAACCAGCCAUGCCGCGUGCAGGAAGAAGGCCUUCUGGGUUGUAAACUGCUUUUGCCAGGGGAUAAAAAGACCAUGCGUGGUUAAUUGAAGGUACCUGGUGAAUAAGCCACGGCUAACUACGUGCCAGCAGCCGCGGUAAUACGG